rnacentral:rRNA from 1 species
UACAGAGGGGGCAAGCGUUAUUCGGAAUUAUUGGGCGUAAAGGGCGCGUAGGCGGCCUGGCAAGUGGAAGGUGAAAUCCCUCGGCUUAACCGAGGAACUGCCCUCCAAACUGCUUGGCUUGAGACCGGGAGAGGUGAGUGGAAUUCCCAGUGUAGCGGUGAAAUGCGUAGAUAUUGGGAGGAACACCAGUGGCGAAGGCGGCUCACUGGACCGGAACUGACGCUGAGGCGCGAAAGCGUGGGGAGCAAACGGG